UGAAAUCUUAUUGAAUUGUGUGGGUGCAUGUUUAUAAUAUGAUCGACUUUUAGGGGCUGAAUAAGUAACUCUGGGUUAUCCUUUUUAUCUCAUUGCUAAGUCUAUGCUUUGUAUGCUCUCUUUGUUUUUAUCUGUUACAAAUGACAACUCAUAAAUGCUUUCUUGGCUGGGGUAAGCAUAAGUUGCUAAUUAUUAGCUUGGAGGAAAUUGAUGCUAUUAAAUUGAGAAUUGAAGGUAAUGAGAGUUAUUUUCUCAGGAAGAACAGCUUAAUGAGAGAAAAGGUGAAUUUUAUCAUAUUUUUGGUAAUAUAUUCGUGUCUGAACGUUAGUGCCUAUUUUUGAGUUUUUUCCCCCAGAUUUAUGAUGUGGGUUUUUGCUUAUUUUCUUUAACUUGUUCUUUUUGCUGUUUAUUGACUAUUUUUUUCGAUUAUUCUUGCUUUAUAUGUGUAGAGAUCAACAAGGAAAGAUGGGAAGCUUGAAUGAAGAUUAAAGUGAUAAGCAACAUUUUCCUCUCUUAACGAUCAGUGAAAGAGCAACAUCAAGUAACACAAUCUGCACUUGACAAAGCAAACUUAACUGCUAAAGAUCUUUCUGCAGUAACAGUUACUAUUGGUCCUAGAUUAAGUUUUUGCUUGUGUGGUAAUCUAUUUGGUUGACUAUUUGUGUGUCUGGUUUUAUUUACAAAAUAGAAAAAUAGCUCACAGUUCUUAUAAAUUUGAGCAAUGGGCAUAGAGACCACGUGUGUUAAGCAAAAGCUUGGGAAUAUGGUUGAGCAGAUUAGGAAAGGGAGUGAUGACAAAAAUCUUUCUAUAUAAAAUUCUUACUUUUCUUUUUCUUCCAUAAUAGCAAAUAUUGGUUUAAACGUGAAAAUAGUUGUGAAUCUCCUAAAUUACUCUUUGUUUUCUUUGAAAGUCUAUAGCAGUUCAUCAUUAGUUAACCAAACUAAGGAGCCAUUUCCAGUCUAACUAAUUAAACCAAACUAUAAACCAUAACCUCUCUCUUUCCUUAAUUUCCAUUUUUUUAGCAUCUUUAAAAACGAAACAAGAUGUUAGUUAUCAGAAUAAUUCAUCUCUUAAUUUGUUUCAUAGUUGCUGUGUAGCAGUUUUGUAUUAUUUUAGGAAUUCCCAACUCUGUAAAAAAGUUGGGCUCGCUCCAAGUUAUUUAACUACUUCAUGUACCUCCAUUCAAGUAUACUCUCAAUUCUUCAUCAAAGCGUCUUCUGAGCUUCAUCUCCCCCAUCAGACAGGAUCUCGAAUUCUCGCAAUUCCACCCAACUGGUAUCUAUGGUCCUGGAUGCCUAAUCACUGAAGAGAUUGAUAGAGGACGAGACUGAGAAAGUCAAGGGCUUUUCAGCAGAGACAACAACACCCUUUAGAGAAAGACUUAUGAUCUUAGGACGUCUAGCGAAUGAAGAAGAUCUCAGUCUGAGACUCUGAAUGUAGUAGAGUCGUAGAGAAGAGCUACAAUGCAUACAAUGAGAAAUCUGUCCUGUCAAGCCCUAAGCACGAGUUUUACUCAGCUUACCUCUACAUAUGUCAAGCCACAAUUCACUUUAGAUUCUGGUGCUUGUCGUGUCAGUGUUUAUGGUUGGAAUGCAGCAUGAUCCUAGAAAGAGAAUUGAUUCUAUAACAAUGUAGUUUCAAUUGCAUUCUCGUGUUGUAUCUUCAAAUCUGACAACAAAUCAUGGAACACUGGACAUCCUUGCUAACAAGGUUCUAGCCGAGGACGAUGAAAAUAACGUCACAGCAUUGUACAUAUGAGGAAAAACAAGAAUAGAACUAGGGCAAAUAAGUUGAUGCAGCUAGAGAAGACUUGGUCAAAUCUCGUAAAUAUGCUCUUGAUGACAGGGUUCUUGCUUAGCAUGAAAAAUCUGUAGCUAGAACCAGAAGGGGCGUGACAAAGCAAUGCUAGGACAAACUGAACCCAAGAGAUCUAUCGUAAAAUCUUCGAGGCUGCUUGAUGUGUUUAGCUUAUUGCAAGCUUACUCGUACCUUUUUUUUCUCUGUGAACUAGCAAUAUGCUUUUUAAAGACUACAUACGUACUGUGGUGUUCAUCAAAUUUACAUGUAACGUGUUCUUUA